rnacentral:lncRNA from 1 species
AACUUUUGGAUGAAAACCUUCUCUGCAAAGCCAAGUUACACCAACUAAGAAUUUCAUUUCACUUUUCACAAUUACUCCACAAUUCAUACACUCUUCGCUUGCAAGAAAGAGCUCUCCACAGCUCAAGAAUUUCAAAGCUUCAGCAAUCAAUUAGAAACAAGAUAAACAUCAAGUUUUUUUCCCACCAAUCUCGCAGAACAACAACAACAUACAAUUUCAUUCAAAGGUUUCAUCUUUUAAUUCCUGCUUAUUUUCAUUUCACAGUUUGAUUAAGAAACUCACUUCAUUUUAUAUAAAGAUCUUCAUUGCAAGCAAGAAUCACACACAUACUUUCAUCUCAUCAUUUCGGUGCAUAUGUAUACACUGUCAUACAUAUAUACAAAGCAUGACUAUUGUUAAAAGAAAAGAAGAGUAGAAAAUGUUUUGAAGCAUGUUGAUAAAUGGAGUCUUGAGCUUUGGUACGUCUGUUGAGUCUGGGCUCUGGUCGAGGGCGGUGGCUCGGCGCCACUGUCGGUCUGGCCGGAGAGGAAAGAAAAUCGAAGGCUAUGAGGCGGCUCAUCGCCGUUGCUCCGGCGGGGUUUUGAAGGGAGAGCCGAGAGGUACAGGGGAGGAGACGGCGCAGGGGGCGCCUGUGUGUGGGCGUGCUCUGUUCUGAGAGAGAGAGCCGAGGGAGGCGGCGGCGCCUCGCCGUUGUCAAGGAGGAAGGCGGAGGCAACGUGGAGGCUGUUUCCGCCGGGUUCGGUGAAGAGAGAGGAGAACGGCGGCGGCCACGGGUUGCUGUCGUCGGGAGGUUUGAGAGAGAGCAGAGGGAGGUCAGAGCGCGGCGGCCCUGCCGCUGUCGCUCGGCCACGGACGGAGGGAGAGGAGGAAGGAGGCUGAGGGCGACUGGAUUGAGGUGGCUAGGGUUCGGACGCUGCGGCAGCUCGUCGCUGUCGUCGUCACCGGAAGGGAGGAGGAUGGAGGGACUAGGGUACCGAGCAGUCGAGGGUGAUGGUGAGGAUGACCAGAGCGGCGCUCGUCGCCGGGGGAUGGUGGCGCGUGGCCGUGAGUCCGAGAGAGAGAGAGGGACGAGCAGUCAAGUUUGAGAGAGAGAGAGAGGCGACUGAUGCGUGACUGAUGGGAGGAAGGAGAGAAAAGGUUGGGUGUUGGGCUAGGUUUGGGUUUUGGGCUCCUUUUUUUGGGCCAAUUUUGAUUGUAUUAAAUUUUCAGUUUGGGCCUCUGAUUAUUUUAAAUCAUGGGCUGCCCAAUUAUUGAUUUAAUUGGAUUGUGCAGAUUUGUUUUAAAGAGCUACACUAUUAUAAUUAAUUAAUUAGACUUAUUAAGUUUGUUUAAUUAUUUUAAUUUGCAUAAUAAUAUUAUAUUAUUAUUAUGUGCAUAUUUUAAGUUAUUACUUAUUAUAUGCUAAGCAUGACAUGAAAUUGCAUUUUAUUUUGCAAAAAAGUAUUCAUGAUUUAAUUGGUCUUAUUUAUAAUUCCAAUUUUUAAAGAAAGACGAGUAAGAAUAUUGUUGGUGUUCUUAACUCAAGAAUUUUAGUUUUCAAUUAUUUAUUCAUUAAUUUUUGAAAACCCGGCUAAGUGAAUCAUAGAAUGUUAAGCACUUCACCACGACUUAAGAUUAGAUUCAAGGAGACCUAUUAAGAAUAGAAUUUCUUGUAGGCUUUGUGGACCAAGGGGAUUAGCACUGCUUUCCCAAGACAGGUUAUGUGAUUAUGAUCUUCAGGCUUUGCCUAAUCAGGUGGGCUUACUUUCCAAAUGUAAAAGUAUGAUUGAGUUAUUAAGCUCUAAAUGUUUCAAUGAAAUGCAAAUUUUUAUUAAUGAAUGAAACUGUUUAUCCAAUAAAAUGUUUAUGUGCACUCUGCUCUGUUUAAGGCUCGCCACAACGAAUCAAUUGAGGUUCUCUUAUCCUAACACGUUUUUGAGAAUUGUGUACACUCGUUAGCUGACCUGGUGGGUUGAUCUCCAUCGGGCACUAACUAAGAGGCGUUAUAAGGGUGCUUGCUGGAUGUGUUCCGAAGCAUGUAAUGUAAGGGCCUGCCUGGGUAGCGUCCCGAGGUCAAAAGUAAACUUGUCUGGGUUACGCCCUCAGUUCAAGUAAAUGGGAGAAACGGAUCCGUCGGUGGCUAGGAGGUCCGGGAUCACAGCGAGUAACAGAAAGGGAGUGUGACAUGUGCGCACAAAUGAAAGAAAUGUUUUAACAUGCUUAGAAGUUCUUUCAAUUUAAAACCUUCUAAGUCAUGUCAAGUAUGAUUGGAUAAACUGUCUUUACGAAAAUAUGAAAUGUUUCAGAAAAUGCAUGCCCACUAAGUACAUUAGUACUUAGCCCAAAAUUUCUUUCAAAUGUUUUCAGGUUGGCUGGCUGGUGCUGACGGUGCGGAGCUGAGGCUAGAGUUAAAUUCCUAUGUUAGACUUCCGCUGUAGCAAUUACUCAUAUCAGUCUUUUGUUUUCCCAACUUAAGAUCUUCAUGUUAAAUUUCAAAUGAUAUACCUGACCGAACUUAGACUCUUCACUACUAAAUUUAUGCCAAUGAAUGUCGGUUGUCAGAAGCAUGAAACAAAACUUGUGAUCCAAAGGGGCAUAGCUCGACUUUCUAUCCUAUUUCGGCUUUUAACAAGGUUUUUCCCUUGUUUAUUUCUAUGAAUUAUUCACACC